CCCCGCCCCGCGGCUCGGCCCGGCGCGGUGGCGCAUCGCGGGGCCGCCCCGGGGCCUGCGGGGGAGCGGCGGCGGCGGGGCCGCGGCGGGCGCUGCCGGCGCCGCGCUGGAUGCGGGCGGGCGCGGGGGUCUCUGCCCGCUCCCCGGCGGAGCGGCGGGUUGAGGAACGGACCCAAAGUUGCUGGAAAGCACAAACUUCCCCGGCGGGUGCCGGUCCGCAGGGCGGCUGUCGGAGCCGUAAUGUGGCGAGAGGGGGGAAAGACCGAAAAGGACUUAUUUUCCAACACCCCCCCAUCCUCGUUUCAAGCACACAAUAUGGUACCCAUAACCGGCCGUGCACACCGGAGUUUGAGCAUAAACUAAUAAUAGCUGGAUAGUUCCACAGGCUAUCCGAGCUGGCGGGUCUUCCUCUCCCUCCCUCUGGGGCGAUUAAAAUUGACUGUAAUCUACUGAAAGAGAGUCGGAGAGCAGCUCGUUUGGGUGAGGGGGUGGGGGACUGGAGAGUCGCUGCAGGAAGGAUAUAAAUAGAUUUUUUUGAAGAAGAAGACAUUGCUUUCGAAGUUAAUGUUUGGGAAUAUUUUCUAACAGGGAUGGCCCUCUUGCCUACCGUGGUAACCCUAAACCUGUCCCUCUCCACACAUCCACGGGAAACCUUGCUGAGAUGUGUUUUAAGAGGCUGUCAUCUCCGUUAUGAUUUGCUGAGAAAUUCUUCAGAAUAAGACCCUGAGAAAUGUCUACCUACAGGGGGAGGAGAGGAAAGGGAACGUGCCAGUUCUCCUCCAAGUACCACAGCCUUAUGGCCUGAUCCAGCCUUGCUCUGCCAUGAACGAUCUCUGCUUCCAUGAGAAUGCCUAAAGAAGCAAAGGGGAUUCUGUACAUGAUGAAUCACAGCUCAAGUUUGUGGGAUGUUUUUGAUAUUUCUGCAGCCUUUCAUGGAUUGCAAGUUGUUGCAUUUGCUUAUUAAGUUCAGAACACAGUAUCAAUUUAUAGAAUAAAUUUCUUUUGGGUACCAGUUUGUGAGUCAAAGUUGUGUUUUCUUUCUAGCAGCAGAAAGUUUUAUAAGAAGGUUCUUCUACUGAGAGAGACAUAAAAAUGCUUGUGAGUUGUAAAUAAUGUGCUUGCAUUCCCUCAUCCUAUGAUCCAUGUUAUUCUAAUAAACCAUGCCAGCUUUUUAACCAAAGCAGUUUUAUUCCAAUUAAUUUGGAGGGGUUGGUUUGCUAGAAUAGAUUUUGUUAGCUCUGUGCUUUCUUAUCUGAGGCUUUAUCAGAGUGGGCCUGAUCCAGCACUGAGUGAGGCAAGAUAAGUAAAAACUGAAGCUACUGGCAAAGAUCCAUAAUUUCUUGCAAAUAUGGAGGAAUUGUCCUGAAAAGGCCACUAAUUCUGUGUGUGUGCCUCUGGUGGGAAUUAAUGCUGUCUGGCCGCAUCUGGAGAAGAGACACAGAAGGGACUCAAGACUUCAACCUGACCUGAUACCUUCUUCCUUGUUUGGUUCCCCUCAUGACCUGUUCUGUGAACCCAGAGAAGAGAGGAGUGACGAAUGGAUAUUUGAUGAUGAUGCACAAUUGCUGAGCAGUAGGUUAAUGCUGUAACCUGUGGGCUGAAAUGCCUGGUGAGCAUUGCCCUGGGGCAGCUGUGAUUAUUUGUUUCUUGGGAAGGAAAUACUUAAUGGGAGUAAAGAGUGCAAUGGUAACUGAACAAUCCCCUGUAAUUGACUGUUCCUCCCCAGUAGUUUCCUGUUUGCACCCUGCUUGAUUUUAAACAGGCUGGAUACAACAAAUUUUUUGGGCAGAUUUACCGGCGAGUUUGAGUUUAGCUGAUGAGAUGUGCUGCUGAAUUCUUCCCAUUACCAGCUAAUUUUCUCCUACUUUGGACAAUGCACCCUUGUGAAUGAUUCAGAGCAUUGAUUAGAAACAUGUUUGUCUUUAGAGGUUUUCUCUGUAAAUCACUGAAGUCAUCUUUUACUACGGGACUCUCAAAAACGAGGCUGCUUUUUUAAGCAGCCCUGAACAGUUUUGUUCUGGCAAGCAUCAGAGUGAACGAUUAGGAUAUCUUGCCAAAGUGGGGGAAGAAAGAAAACAAAGAACAUUUUUGGGGUUUUAUUUUUGUUUACAAUUGUAUUAAUUAUUGUCACUGUGUUGAUUCUUGGUUCUGUCCCUGAUAAAUCGUUGGUGUUCUACAUUAUCUCUCUCCUCCCGGGUAGCAUGGUUUUAAUCAUCUUAUGCUGAGCUAAGGAAAGCUCGGCUCAGCCAGUUGUCCAAAGGGGAAUUUCUCAUUGAGAUUUAAAAAGCAAAAUCCCAGAUUGGAGCAAACCCAUUGGGGCGGGCGUGUUAGGUGAUGGCUACUGACUGACAAGGCUCCUUUUAGGAAUAGUCACGUACAAGAAUGUGCAUCUAUGUGGGCAACGGGAUUAAUGGCUGUGGAAAGGAAGGCUGUUGGUUGCAGUUAAUUUUUCUUUUAAAUAGUACACAGAGGGAUUCCUGUGGCAGCAUGGUAACAACCUCUGCUUGAAUUUCUGAGCAGUUUGGUAUGAGAAAAUUGAAAGCCUGGUCAGUCAGGGAAGUCCUGUACCUGGAUUGCCAUUGCCUCAUGUUAGUGGAGAUCAUGCACGAGUGCUGGGGAAUGUGACUGCCACUGGGGAGCAGAACAAACCCCCUCCUCACUUUCCAGCAAUGCUCUUUGUCACUUGGACUUGAAAGAAAAUUGCCAUCUGCUAGAGGGUGGAGAGCCAUUUGCUUCUUGUGAGGAAGCAGGUGUGUGCAGAAUUGCUGCGUGUCUGCUUGGCUUCAUCACUGCUGUGCAGGGCAUCUCUGACCAGGCAGCAGAGGAGAAAGGUAUGUCUGCAAGGGGAAGUGCCAGUGUGGUGUCCAGGGUCCAGUCCUGCUUUUCCAACAGGUUUAGCACUUGUCAGAUGUAGACAGUUGUUUAAGGCAGCAAACUGGGGUACUACCCCAGUUCCUGUCAGAUAGUGAGCAGUGAAGACUCCUGCUCAGAGCAGCAAGGCUUAGUAUCUUCCUGUCGCCACUGGAAUGUGGGCCUGAGGCUGCCUGUUUCAAAUUAGUUGCUUCUUUGUAGCAUUUUGAUUUGUACUUGUCAUUUCACCCCAAAUGAGGUUAAUGAUGCUGGUAGUGGUAGCACAUCUGGGCUAGCAGGGCUCGAAAUAAAUAACUCUAUUAGGACUGGAUCAUUUAUAGUUUGCAGAAUGCCAUGUAGAGGAAGCUCCUUCUCUUGUUCUACUGACCACCUGCUGUACAGUCAGAAAAUCUCUUCCAAUUAUGGUUUUGAUGCUUGGCAUUGGAACUUGUCUGGAAAGGAGUAGAAAAGCUGGGAGAUGGCCCUGCUUGUCUUCUGCUGUGCUCCACUAAGCAGAGAGACAGCUCCCUGGGAGGGCAAUCUACCACCAAGAGUGACUGACAGAUCCUGGCCCUCCAUCCCUGUGAGGGCUGAGCAGCCUCUGUGACAAUUUGUACUCAGUGGAAGCACAAAUCCCCAGUGUCCCUGCAACAGCCCUGUGCAGGCUGUGCUUGGUGGCAGAAACCGCUUUUAGGGUGUGCAGAGGCACCCUGAACUUCCCAGAGGUAAAAGAAGAGCCUCACAAAGAGGAACAAAUGUUUUUUAAAAGCCAUUUGCAAUAUUUCUUGCUAUUUAAAAACAAAUUUCUCUAUUCCUGUUACCAUUUCUGAGUGCUUCCUUCUCACAUAGAGAAAGAGCAGCGCAUUGCUGCUUUCUUGCCUGUGACAACACCGUGACCUGCCUGCACUCAUCCCCUUCAAGACUGUGGCUUCAGGAGUUUGAGUUUUUCAACUGUAUACAUUGAGAAAUUGUUAAUUGAAAUUCUCUUGAGAAAGCGUGUGGGUUCCCACUGAAAUCAAUAAGGCUCCUGCACAUAGACCUGAGGGUAGAAAUGGGCUCCUGCUUGGUGUUUGACAGGCAGAGUUCAGCAGCUUUGUUGUAAAGAAGCUUUGUGUGUGUUUGUGCAACAGCCCCUGAAAAGCUGAAGGUGGUUCUGGAGGGUCUGAAUGGAAACCUGGACGUUUAUCCUUGAACGAGCUGCCUGGGGUUUGGCUUCAAAAGCCAUCAGAACAGCUCUUGAGGGCUCGUGUGCUGGAGCAUCUGCACGCUGCAACGUGGAACACAUGCACACGCUGUACCAGUCAGACAAUGCUUUUUCAGCCAAUGAAAUACUCAAGUGAGAUGAAAUAAAAGCAAAAGUCCAAAAUUACCAAGCAACAUACUUGAGUGAAAUAUUCAGUAAGAAAGGAGGGCAUCUGAACGCUUCGAUAUUUACUUUUCUAGGAGCCUCUUGAAAGCAAAAUGUGUUUUGUUAGCAAAAUUAUUUUUCCUUUCUGAGGUUUUGGUAGUAGUUUAUUGUUUUAGAGCCGUUCCUGUAAUCUAGCCUUCAUCCUAGAGUUUAUUAUUGCUGGGUUGCAUGGGGAAUGGGGUUGUACAAAUGGGGUUGUACAAAUAGAGAGUCAAUUUCUGUCAACAAGCUAUUGGCAUAGUUUUCUUUACGUUGAAUUAUUUGAUCUUUUGCAGAAUGCAUGUAGAUUUUCUUCAUUACUUUGACAGUUUUCCUACUGCUCUUCCCCUUCUGUCUCAGCCAUUAUCUUUUGGUCAUAAAUACAAUGAGAACUAAAAAGUGUUUAUGUAGACCAAAGGAUUCAUUCUUCCUCUGUAAAAAAGAUUGUUUCUCGAAUUGACUGAUGUGUGAGUGAUGGGGAUAUUUAACCGGAUGAUCUUGUGAGGAGUGAAAGGGCUGCAGGGUGAGAGACACAAGGAUCUGAAGGCAGUCAGGCCAGACAAAGGGUGCACGGUCUGUGGUUUCUGUAUCUAUUCAUUAACUCAUCACAAGGUCGUUAUCCCUGCUGUGAUUAGGCCACCGUGCCGCCUCUUGGGAAGCUGCUGCUCACGGGGCAGGAGGCUGUGAGACUGCCUUGCAGGAGAACCGGGAUCAAUUCUCCUCCCGCACGUCUGGUUGGGACUGAGAACUCCAGAGGAGAUAAUUGCUGACAGCAAUCAGAUUGGGUGCUAAAUGCCAUAUAAGCCAUCUAGGUCAAUAAUGAUGGUAAAGCCUUGGGCACAGUUGUCAAAACAGCAUUUGAGUUUGCCUAUCUCUUUGUGCAGCGACACCACUGAUUGUGCGUAGAGUUAAACGCAAUAAAUGCAGGAUGCCACAUGAUUUUUAGUUCUGGUGUGUGUCAAAAUCCCUGAAGUUCUUGCAGUGAAAAGGAUUUCUAUAAUAAGAACGUCUCUUGUCUCCCUCGACCUUGUUCCUUCGUUCAUUGUCCUUGAAGAGUGGGGAUGGAGCUGUGCUUUCUGUGGACUAGGCUGGAGCUAUGUCUGCCCCAGUGGGUUUCUGUUAUGAGUCCCCUGAAGCUCUGGGUAGACUUUGGGUAUCCUUGGCUUCUGCUGGUGUGAAAACUGUUCCACCCUUUCCCACAGUGACACUUGGGGAAUUCCUGAAUCAAUAUGGGUUGUGCCUGCAGUGAGUAUCACUGUGAUAGAAAACCCGGAGUGAUGCAGUACAAAGGCACGUUCAUCUACCUGACAAAGGUUGUCUAUCUUGAAUUAUUUAUGAGGUUUCACAGCACACUAGUAAAUUUUGUAAAAGCAAUGGAGUCCUGGUAAUGUGAGCCUCUUCACUACAGCUUCCGUAGUGGAGUUGUUCUGAGGAGGUACAGGAGGUGGGGGAUGGAGGAGGAGGAGGAAGAAAUAGGCAGCAAGUGGAGGGAUAGAGAGAGACUGCUGUUUUCAUGUGCAAAUGAUGAGGUGUGCAGAGCAAUGAAUUUGUUAGAUCACGCUGUGCAUUGGAGCAAAAAUCCCUGUAGUGUUAGAAAGCAGCCUAUGCUUCAGGGAAGGGUGGGGAGUAGAAAGGAUGGGGAGUACAGACACAGAGCAAGGUGAAAAUCUCUUGACCAAAAUACUGAUUGCUUCCCAUCUGUAGAAAUGCUGUUUGCAGGGGUAGUUUGGUUAAAGUAUGUACUCAUUUUGGUGAGGCUUUCUAAUCCGAGUUCCAGUAAAAGAAGACUCAAGCCAGAGCUGGUCAGGCUUUCCUGUGUGGCAUUCAGCGACUGAGAGGCUUGGAAGUGUGCAGAGCAGUGGCUGUUGACCAGAGAGGUUUGCUGAGGAUAACCUGGAACAUGUGUGUCCACAGGAGCAUUAAGUCAGUGUUGUCUAACACAGAGAGCGAGGGCAGGAAGAGUUGGAGUCCUGGCAGCUGUGCGUGGGCUUGCUUCAAUCCCUGCUGCAGCACCAUUUCAGUGCUAAAAGUUAGUGCUGCAGCACAGGUUCACAGUGUGGCUGCCACUGUGCACCUGAUUUGUUGGUACACAGAGCCUGCCCUGUGCCUUUGGGCUUCUGAGCCUCUUGGCCUUGCAAGCACAAAGUUAGCCCUUAAACAGUCACAUUGUUGGAAAGAAUUGGGAAAGUAUUGUAUCCAUCUCCACUGAAGGGACAAAUGAGGAUAUGAGUCUCCUUAUAAAUACCAAUACCUCUCAACUCAUAACAGAGCUGAGUCCUGCAACUUUUGUCACAAGCUGCCAGUUUGCUGUCAGGCUCUGUUUCUUCUCCAGUGGGCACUUAAUAUUCUGCAGUCCAGAAGAAUCCCAUAUCUAAAGUCUGAGUUCACAUUCAUUCUCCAAACGGGAAAGCAAAACAAGGGGCAUAUAUCUAAAUAAUUUUCAGAGCUAACCUUGUAUAAGCUACUUAUCCUUCAGAAAUAUAUAAAGCUCUCAGUGAUGUAAUUUCUGUUGAACCAGAGAUAUUCUUGUAUUUGAAUUCUCACAUCUAUUAAUUUUCAUGUAAUAUCUAUUGUGGCUAAUAAACACUUCCUGUACAGUAUGAAACAGGGAGGAUCAUGAAUGCAGUGCUUUGUUUGCACAUCUAACGUAUUUUACAGGCAGAUUUUUGGCAGCUGUAAUAUGAACACCAAAA